CUUCUGCCUUCUAUGCUGGAGCCCUUUGAUACAUCCUCAAAGGAGAUGGAGCAAUGAAGAUGGAUGGCCCUGGCUCCUGUUCUUGAAAAAAUUCUGCUGUGGCACUCUUCUCAUGCUUCUCCCAAUCCAGAAGCCAAGUGUCCUGGAGUUCUAAUCACAGGCAUAUUCGUCAGGUUUUGUAGCAGAAGUUGACGUAAAGGCAUAAGAUCUGCUCUACACAAAUUCUAUUUAUGAACUGCAUCUCAGCUGAAAUAAAAGAUGCUUGUAUUGAUUUCCUGGCA
rnacentral:lncRNA from 1 species